GUCUUAACACACUCUCUAAACAUGUUAUCAUCUUAAAAUAAAUGGAUGAAACAAAUGAAAACAAAAAAGAAAGAAAAAAAUGUGUAUGCGUCCGAAAGUUAACCUCUAUGAGAAUUGUACACAGCCGAAUAUUUGAAAGUCAAGGAUGUAAAAGAAAAACAUAUAAUACCAAAAAUACCAAACUCCGUUGAAAUUCUAAACCGAAUGUCCCUCAUCAAAUGACAAAAGCAAAAGCUAAAACACAUUUAACGAAU
rnacentral:lncRNA from 1 species